rnacentral:lncRNA from 1 species
UGUUUUGUUUCAUUCCAUUCAGUGGUUCACUAAAAGAAGUCAUUUGUAUGUAUUUCCCCUAUUGUCCUACGUUAAACUAAGUCCCCUGCUGGCAGCCAUCUUGGAUGAUGGAUCGGCUACAAAGUAACAACACUUGGUCAGCACCUCAUAAGGAACAUUCAUGCCAUGUUUGAUUUCAUUCCAUUCAGUGGUUCUCCAGAAGAA